rnacentral:tRNA from 1 species
UGGGAUGUAGUUCAGUUGGUAAAGCACAUACCUAGUAUGCACAAAACUCUGGGUUCAAUUCCCAGCACAUCAA